rnacentral:miRNA from 1 species
AAGUGUCGCCGAUUUUUUGAGCGC